AAUACACGGGAUCGCCAUCCAUCAGCGCGUUGCGCCCAUGGGUGACGUUGUC
rnacentral:sRNA from 1 species